rnacentral:rRNA from 1 species
CCUACGGGUGACAGCAGUGGGGGAUAUUGCACAAUGGGGGGAACCCUGAUGCAGCGACGCCGCGUGGGGGAAGAAGCGCCUCGGCGCGUAAAGCCCUGUCAGCAGGGAAGAAAAUGAAGGUACCUGAAGCAGAAGCCCCGGCUAACUACGUGCCAGCAGCCGCGGUAAUACGUAGGGGGCAAGCGUUAGCCGGAUUGACUGGGGGUAAAGGGGGCGCAGACGGCGAUGCAAGCCAGGAGUGAAAGCCCGGGGCCGAACCCCGGGACGGCUCGUGCAACUGCGUGGCUGGAGUGCAGGAGGGGCAGGCGGAAUUCCUGGUGUAGCGGUGAAAUGCGUAGAUAUCAGGAGGAACCCCGGUGGCGAAGGCGGCCUGCUGGACUGCAACUGACGUUGAGGCCCGAAAGCGUGGGGAGCAAACCGGAUUAGAUACCCCUGUAGUC